rnacentral:lncRNA from 1 species
AUUUACAAUAGUCAAAUUCAUAGAGACAGAGAGUAGAAUGAAGGUUGACAGAAGCUAGGGGGAGUGGGGAAUGGGAAGUUACUUCUUAGUCGAUAUAGAAUUUCAGUUUUACAAAAUGAAGAGUUCAGAGUUCCAGAGCCUGGUUGCCCAACAAUGUGAAUGCAUUUAAUACCACCGAACUGCAGGCUUACAAAUGGCUAGGAUGGUGCAGUUUAUGUUAUGUGUAUUUCAAUGAAAAUUUGGAAGAAAAUACGAAAAAGGAGGAAUGAGUGAGAACCAGUAUGGUUUGUGGGAGGAAUGUUAAGCAGGUGCUGCUGCUGAGAGUAAAAUGGGAAGCAGAAAGAGAGAGAGUGAGGCUGAGGGGAGAACAGAGACCAGGUUUAUUCAGUCUGGAGAUGUUCUUUCAGGCCAUGUGUUCUUCUAGGAAAGGGAGAUACUGUGGAGCUUAGAGGCUUGACCCCGGCCCUUAGGUCUUUGGGUCUUCUCGUUGAGGCAAGAAGGAGCCAUUGAUGGUGUUAAGCAGGAAAAGCAGCAAGAUCCGAUUUGCAUUUUAGGAUUAUUCCUCUGGCUGAAUGCAAAUGAGUUGGAGGGGGCGACAUGGAGGAGGGAGGCAGAGUCACUGGUAAUCAAAAAGUAGAUGAUAAAGGCCUGAACAGGGAGGAAGAUCUCCACACAGCCCUGGUUUCCCAAGGCAGAACCAUAGGAAGAAAAGGCCGUUCCUUCCCCUGUCUGGAAGUGAGGCCUGGACAUUUCCAGCCAUCUUAUAUACCUCCCGCUGGGGCUGAAGUAACUGCUGAGAACGGUAAAGUGGAGAUGUGACAGAUCCUGGGUCUCCAAUGACUUUGCUGAGCUGCUGAUUCACGGACCGUUCUACCUCUGGACCUCCUGUGAUGUGACAUAACACACUGCUGUGUUGUCUUAGCUGCAGCUGAGCUUCCAAUGUCUGCAGUUGAAAGCACCCUAACUAUUAAAGAGCUUCAAGAACACAGAAAUCCCAGAGAGCAAGGAGCAGCCCCCAACAAUAAACUCAUUUUCCAUACCAACCGAGUGGAGGUAGCCUUUCUCAAACAGGUAGGUUCAUUCAAAGUGUCUGUUG